rnacentral:miRNA from 1 species
UCCAGUCCUCUACCCUUCUCCA